rnacentral:rRNA from 1 species
UGGGGAAUUUUGGACAAUGGGCGAAAGCCUGAUCCAGCAAUGCCGCGUGUGUGAAGAAGGCCUUCGGGUUGUAAAGCACUUUUGUCCGGAAAGAAAUCCUUGGCUCUAAUACAGUCGGGGGAUGACGGUACCGGAAGAAUAAGCACCGGCUAACUACGUGCCAGCAGCCGCGGUAAUACGUAGGGUGCAAGCGUUAAUCGGAAUUACUGGGCGUAAAGCGUGCGCAGGCGGUUUGCUAAGACCGAUGUGAAAAUCCCCGGGCUCAACCUGGGAACUGCAUUGGUGACUGGCAGGCUAGAGUAUGGCAGAGGGGGGUAGAAUUCCACGUGUAGCAGUGAAAAUGCGUAGAGAUGUGGAGGAAUACCGAUGGCGAAGGCAGCCCCCUGGGCAAUAACUGACGCUCAUGCACGAAAAGCGUGGGGAGCAAAACAGGAUUAGAUACCCUGGUAGUCCACGCCCUAAAACGAUGUCAACUAGUUGUUGGGGAUUCAUUUCCUUAGU